rnacentral:rRNA from 1 species
GGAGAAAUCCGAGGCUAAUACCGCAUACGCCCUACGGGGGAAAGCGGGGGCUACUUCGGACCUCGCGCUAUUAGAUGAGCCUACGUUAGAUUAACUAGUUGGUGGGGUAAAGGCCUACCAAGGCGACGAUCUAUAACUGGUCUGAGAGGAUGAUCAGCCACACUGGGACUGAGACACGGCCCAGACUCCUACGGGAGGCAGCAGUGGGGAAUAUUGGACAAUGGGCGAAAGCCUGAUCCAGCAAUACCGCGUGUGUGAAGAAGGCCUGAGGGUUGUAAAGCACUUUCAAUUGGGAGGAAAAAGCAUCGGCCAAUACCCGGUGUCUUGACAUUACCUUUAGAAGAAGCACCGGCUAACUCCGUG